rnacentral:rRNA from 1 species
GGGUUUGAUCCUGGCUCAGGACGAACGCUGGCGGCGUGCCUAAUACAUGCAAGUCGAGCGGACCGAAAAGGAGCUUGCUUCGAUUCGGUUAGCGGCGGACGGGUGAGUAACACGUGGGCAACCUGCCCGUAAGACCGGGAUAACUUCGGGAAACCGGAGCUAAUACCGGAUAACACCGAAGACCGCAUGGUCUUUGGUUGAAAGGCGGCUUAGGCUGUCACUUACGGGUGGGCCCGCGGCGCAUUAGCUAGUUGGUGAGGUAACGGCUCACCAAGGCGACGAUGCGUAGCCGACCUGAGAGGGUGAUCGGCCACACUGGGACUGAGACACGGCCCAGACUCCUACGGGAGGCAGCAGUAGGGAAUCUUCCGCAAUGGACGAAAGUCUGACGGAGCAACGCCGCGUGAGCGAAGAAGGUCUUCGGAUUGUAAAGCUCUGUUGUUAGGGAAGAACAAGUACCGCAGUAACUGGCGGUACCUUGACGGUACCUAACGAGAAAGCCACGGCUAACUACGUGCCAGCAGCCGCGGUAAUACGUAGGUGGCAAGCGUUGUUCGGAUUUACUGGGCGUACAGGGUGCGUAGGCGGUUCGGUAAGCCCUUCGGGAAAGCUCCGGGCUUAACCCGGAAAGGUCGGAGGGGACUGCCGAGCUAGAGGACGGGAGAGGAGCGCGGAAUUCCCGGUGUAGCGGUGAAAUGCGUAGAGAUCGGGAGGAAGGCCGGUGGCGAAGGCGGCGCUCUGGAACGUUUCUGAC